UACGUGAGGGUGCGAGCGUUGUCCGGAAUUACUGGGGCGUAAAAGAGCUCGUAGGUGGUUUUGUCGCGUUGUCCGUGAAAAACUCACAACUCAAUUGUGGGCGUGCGGGCGAUACGGGCAGACUGGAGUACUGCAGGGGAGACUGGAAUUCCUGGUGUAGCGGUGGAAUGCGCAGAUAUCAGGAGGAACACCGGUGGCGAAGGGCGGGGUCUCUGGGCAGUAACUGACGUGAGGAGCGAAAAGCGUGGGGGAGCGAACAG
rnacentral:rRNA from 1 species